GUUUGAUCCUGGCUCAGGACGAACGCUGGCGGCGUGCUUAACACAUGCAAGUCGAGCGGUAAGGCCCUUCGGGGUACACGAGCGGCGAACGGGUGAGUAACACGUGAGCAACCUGCCCCUGACUCUGGGAUAAGCGGUGGAAACGCCGUCUAAUACCGGAUACGACCCGCCACCUCAUGGUGGAGGGUGGAAAGUUUUUUCGGUCAGGGAUGGGCUCGCGGCCUAUCAGCUUGUUGGUGGGGUAACGGCCUACCAAGGCGAUUACGGGUAGCCGGCCUGAGAGGGCGACCGGCCACACUGGGACUGAGACACGGCCCAGACUCCUGCGGGAGGCAGCAGUGGGGAAUAUUGCGCAAUGGGCGAAAGCCUGACGCAGCGACGCCGCGUGGGGGAUGACGGCCUUCGGGUUGUAAACCUCUUUUACCACCAACGCAGGCUCCGGGUUCUCUCGGGGUUGACGGUAGGUGGGGAAUAAGGACCGGCUAACUACGUGCCAG
rnacentral:rRNA from 1 species